rnacentral:misc_RNA from 1 species
UAGAAUUCGAGUCUUGGGUCAGGGG